GAUGAAGAACGGAGCGAAAUGCGAUAAGUAAUGUGAAUUGCAGAAUUCAGUGAAUCAUCGAAUCUUUGAACGCACAUUGCGCCCCCUGGUAUUCCGGGGGGCAUGCCUGUCCGAGCGUCAUUACAACCCUCAAGCUCAGCUUGGUGUUGGGCCCCGCCGCCCCGGCGGGCCCUAAAGUCAGUGGCGGUGCCGUCCGGCUCCGAGCCUAGUAAUUCUUCUCGCUCUGGAGGCCCGGUCGUGUGCUCGCCAGCAACCCCCAAUUUUUUUCAGGUUGACCUCGGAUCAGGUAGGGAUACCCGCUGAACUUAAGCAUAUCAAUAAGCGGAGGA
rnacentral:misc_RNA from 1 species